GAUAGCAAACACAAGGUGCAUUGGGUGUCUUGGGAGAAGAUGUGCAUGGGCAAAACGAGUGGUGGGAUGGGUUUUAGGGACUAUUAUGCUUUCAGUCAAACCCUACUAGCUAAACAAGCUUGGAGGUUGGUGAGCAACCCUGGUCCAUUAUGUGCCCGUGUGUUGCAAGCAAGAUAUUAUCCAGAUGGAGAGUUCUUGGAGCCCCCUUGUCCCAAUAGAAGUUUGUAUACUUGGAUAAACAUCAUAUGGGGCAAGGAGAUAGUUUUACUUAGGACCUAA
rnacentral:rRNA from 1 species